AUUGAACGCCGGCGGCAUGCUUUACACAUGCCAGUCGAACGGUAACAGGCCGCAAGGUGCUGACGAGUGGCGAACGGGUGAGUAAUACAUCGGAACGUGCCCAGUCGUGGGGGAUAACGCAGCGAAAGCUGCGCUAAUACCGCAUACGAUCUGUGGAUGAAAGCGGGGGACCGUAAGGCCUCGCGCGAUUGGAGCGGCCGAUGUCAGAUUAGGUAGUUGGUGGGGUAACGGCUCACCAAGCCGACGAUCUGUAGCGGGUCUGAGAGGACGACCAGCCACACUAGGACUGAGACACGGCCCAGACUCCGACGGGAGGCAGCAGUGGGGAAUGUUGGACAAUGGGCGCAAGCCUGAUCCAGCAAUGCCGCGUGCAGGAAGAAGGCCUUCGGGUUGUAAACUGCUUUUGUACGGAACGAAACGGCUCUGGUUAAUACCUGGGGCUAAUGACGGUACCGUAAGAAUAAGCACCGGCUAACUACGUGCCAGCCGCCGCGGUAACAC
rnacentral:rRNA from 1 species